rnacentral:rRNA from 1 species
UACCAGCACCCCGAGUGGUCGGGACGUUUAUUGGGCCUAAAGCAUCCGUAGCCGGUUCCACAAGUCUUCCGUUAAAUCCAGCUGCUUAACAGAUGGGCUGCGGAAGAUACUAUGGAGCUAGGAGGCGGGAGAGGCAAGCGGUACUCGAUGGGUAGGGGUAAAAUCCGUUGAUCCAUUGAAGACCACCAGUGGCGAAGGCGGCUUGCCAGAACGCGCUCGACGGUGAGGGAUGAAAGCUGGGGGAGCAAACCGG